GUGAAAGAUGCGUGAGUAUGUGUUCUCUAAAUAAACUACGGAAAAUAGUUUAAUCCCUUGCAAAAAUACAGAAUCUUAGAAGUCGAUGAAUCGAUUCCUAGCGAAAUCGGAGUUUGACAACCAGAAAUGGGAGUUGACACCAGGACUCGACAGGCAAAGAGUUGAGGAAUCUAUUAUUUUGAAGUCGACUCCCCAUCACUAUCCAUAUGGCAGUUAAGACAGAGCUCCCGGUAAACUACACAACAACACACAGGAAUCUUCUAACUUGGAUGGACGAGGGAAAAAAGGGAAGGAGUAGAGAAGUUAUCCAGCCUGCUGACUAAGAAAUGGAAAUAGCCUAUGCUUUGCUGUCUAUCUCUCUCUAUCUCUCUCCGUCUGUCUGCCUGCCUGCCUAACUGACAUAUUGCUGAAGGGCAACAUAGUCAAUGUACUUGCUAGGCUAAGCGUAACUUAGUGAAGACCUUGAUUUGUCUCUGUCUUUACAGUUCCUGAAACAUGUCAAUGGCCUGAUGCAUGGCCUCUACAGAGGUGGUUGGCCACCCACUCAGUUACCAGUGACCUAUUCUGCCACAUCCCAGGGAAUUGAGAGCGCAGGACCACCCCUUCUUAAAUCCAUAGUAAUUGACACAGAGGGUUCUACCUGGAACCCAAAACGGUUCAAACUGGAACCAAAAAGGCUUUGCCUAUGAGGACAGCUGAACAACCUUUUGGACCCUUGUUUCUAAGAGUGUAGUGUGCAAAAGCCUUGUGUCCUGAUUCAACAGACACCUCCCCUGGUGAGUCAUGUAAAGUUUCCUGAUUCAACAAAACCUCCCCUGGUGAGUCAUGUAAAGUUUCCUGAUUGAACAAACACCUCCCCUGGUGAGUCAUGUAAAGUUUCUCCCAUUUCUCUCUUGCUCAUUCUCUCUUUCACUCCCUCAAACUCACACACAUGCAGAUGUAGAGAAGAGGAAGAGAUAUACCAAUUACAUCAAUUUCUAACACUGUUUGUUGCAGGAAUUAUAUGACAGACGCAUAACCUUUUGAACAAUAUAAUAUUUUACUGUCGCUUUAUUGCCUCUUUACACAUACUUACAUUUUUGCAUUUAACUUUGUUUUUUAAGACUGCCACGCUGUCCUAUAUUGGGGAACCUUGUCCAGGACAAUGACCUCAGGAUUAUGGAGCUGUGUGUUUAUAAAAAAAGUUUGAAUAUUACAACAUGUAUUAGGAUUAAGAUAAACUUGACCAUUUAGAGAGGAGUUCAACAUUUUCAUUAUUGAACUACUGUCUAAUUUUAAUAACCUCUUUCUUAAAAUAUUUCUGAUUGAUGACCAAUGGAUUAAUGUCCCACUUCAAAAUGAAGGGACAGAAGAGCAAACAUGCCUUUGCUACCACUUUUAGUAGAUUCUCACUGUUACAAAUCUUUUACUGUGUGUUACUGUUAUGUUCUGCAUGCCCACAUAAUGCAAAUCAUAAAAAAGUAAUAUUUUUAUGCUUACAGUAAGUGUCAUGAAAACUCAGGAGGUUGAUGUGUUAUGGGCCUUCUGGAAAGUCCUAAAAUAUGCCCCUGAGCCGUGUUGGGGAAUGACGCAAAGUAUUUUUUUAAAUACAUCUCUAAGCUAUAACUGCCACAGCAUUAUUCAACUAGUACCAUGGAAAUACUUUUAACUGGCUGAGUACAACGUUUCUUCAAGAGUGUCCUUUUCUAGUUUGCUUAUAAAAUAUUAACUUGAUAAAAUUGUAAUGUGCUGAUUGUCUUCACUUCAUCUGAUCCAUCACACCACUCUUCAAGAGGACCACUCUGCUCCAGAUCUGACCCAUCACACCACUCUUCAAGAGGACCACUCUGCUCCAGAUCUGACCCAUCACACCACUCUUCAAGAGGACCACUCUGCUCCAGAUCUGACCCAUC